rnacentral:rRNA from 1 species
GAUGAACGCUGGCGGCGUGCUUAACACAUGCAAGUCGAACGAAGCAUUUAGAACGGAUUACUUCGGUUUGAAGUUCUUUAUGACUGAGUGGCGGACGGGUGAGUAACGCGUGGGUAACCUGCCUUGUACUGGGGGAUAGCAGCUGGAAACGGCUGGUAAUACCGCAUAAGCGCACAAUGUUGCAUGACAUGGUGUGAAAAACUCCGGUGGUAUAAGAUGGACCCGCGUCUGAUUAGCUAGUUGGUGAGAUAACAGCCCACCAAGGCGACGAUCAGUAGCCGACCUGAGAGGGUGACCGGCCACAUUGGGACUGAGACACGGCCCAGACUCCUACGGGAGGCAGCAGUGGGGAAUAUUGCACAAUGGAGGAAACUCUGAUGCAGCGACGCCGCGUGAGUGAAGAAGUAAUUCGUUAUGUAAAGCUCUAUCAGCAGGGAAGAUAGUGACGGUACCUGACUAAGAAGCUCCGGCUAAAUACGUG